rnacentral:rRNA from 1 species
GCGUAAAGCGUACGUAGGUGGUCUUUUAAGUCGGAUGUGAAAUCCCUGAGCUUAACUUGGGAAUUGCAUUCGAUACUGGGAGACUAGAGUAUGGGAGAGGAUGGUAGAAUUCCAGGUGUAGCGGUGAAAUGCGUAGAGAUCUGGAGGAAUACCGAUGGCGAAGGCAGCCAUCUGGCCUAAUACUGACACUGAGGUACGAAAGCAUGGGGAGCAAACAGGAUUAGAUACCCUGGUAGUCCAUGCCGUAAACGAUGUCUACUAGCCGUUGGGGUCUUUGAGACUUUAGUGGCGCAGCUAACGCGAUAAGUAGACCGCCUGGGGAGUACGGUCGCAAGACUAAAACUCAAAUGAAUUGACGGGGGCCCGCACAAGCGGUGGAGCAUGUGGUUUAAUUCGAUGCAACGCGAAGAACCUUACCUGGUCUUGACAUAGUAAGAACUUUCCAGAGAUGGAUUGGUGCCUUCGGGAGCUUACAUACAGGUGCUGCAUGGCUGUCGUCAGCUCGUGUCGUGAGAUGUUGGGUUAAGUCCCGCAACGAGCGCAACCCUUUUCCUUAUUUGCCAGCGAGUAAUGUCGGGAACUUUAAGGAUACUGCCAGUGACAAACUGGAGGAAGGCGGGGACGACGUCAAGUCAUCAUGGCCCUUACGACCAGGGCUACACACGUGCUACAAUGGUCGGUACAAAGGGUUGCUACCUAGCGAUGGGAUGCUAAUCUCAAAAAGCCGAUCGUAGUCCGGAUUGGAGUCUGCAACUCGAC